CAGUCGCCGCGGUAAUACGAGGGGGGCAAGCGUUGUUCGGAAUUACUGGGCGUAAAGCGUGCGUAGGCGGUUCGUUAAGUCUGUUGUGAAAGCCCCGGGCUCAACCUGGGAAUGGCAAUGGAUACUGGCGAGCUAGAGUGUGUCAGAGGAUGGUGGAAUUCCCGGUGUAGCGGUGAAAUGCGUAGAGAUCGGGAGGAACAUCAGUGGCGAAGGCGGCCAUCUGGGACAACACUGACGCUGAGGCACGAAAGCGUGGGGAGCAAACAGGAUUAGAUACCCCAGUAGUCCCUGUCUCUUAUAC
rnacentral:rRNA from 1 species